rnacentral:rRNA from 1 species
GAGCACGUAGGUGGGUUUGUAAGUCAGAUGUGAAAGCCUUCUGUUCAACGGAAGAAUUGCAUCUGAAACUGCGAAUCUUGAGUAUAGGAGGGGAGAAUGGAACUUCUGGUGGAGCGGUGAAAUGCGUAGAUAUCAGAAGGAACGCCGGCGGCGAAAGCGAUUCUCUGGCCUAUUACUGACACUCAGUGUGCGAAAGCUAGGGGAGCAAACGGGAUUAGAUACCCCGGUAGUCCUAGCCGUAAACGAUGGGCACUAAGUAGAGGGAAUUACCGAUAUUCUCUCUGCCGUAGCUAACGCAUUAAGUGCCCCGCCUGGGGAGUACGGCCGCAAGGCUAAAACUCAAAAGAAUUGACGGGGGCUCGCACAAGCGGUGGAGCAUGUGGCUUAAUUCGAUGCAGCGCGAAAAACCUUACCGGGGCUUGACAUGGUAGAAGUAGGAACCCGAAGGGGUGACGAACGGUAUCCAGUCCGUAGCUAUCACAGGUGUUGCAUGGCUGUCGUCAGCUCGUGUCGUGAGACGUUGGGUUAAGUCCCCUAACGAGCGAAACCCUUGUUUUUAGUUGCCAGCGGGUUGUGCCGGGCACUCUAGAAAGACUGCCGUCGUCAAGACGGAGGAAGGUGGGGAUGACGUCAAGUCAUCAUGGCCCUUAUGCCCCGGGCUGCACACGUGCUACAAUGGUCGGUACAAACGGAAGCGAAGCCGAGAGGUGAAGCGAAUCC